rnacentral:lncRNA from 1 species
AAGGUUAUACAUCAAUUGGUUUCGUAUGAGAUUUCAGAUAUAAGUCUUAUAAUCGGUCUACACAUAUAACUCUCGUCAGGUGGGAUGCAAAUGAACUAGAGAUGCUUCCAAAAUACAUGCAGAUAUGCUUCAUGGCCGUCUACAACACCACGAAUGAACUUGCCUACCACACCUUAAAACAGCAGGAUUUCAACUGUUUGCCUUACAUUAGACAAGCAGUAAGCCACGUAGUUAAUUAAGCAACUGGUGAUCAUAAUUAAUUAAGCUCAUGCAUCCCAACAAAGCUAAUUAAUUAAGUGUGUGUUAAUUACUUUGGCAGUGGCAACAACAGUGUAGAUUGUACCUGGAAGAAGCCAAGAUGUUCCACACCGUUGGAUCGCACCAAACAUUUGAGGAAUAUUUGGAAAACGGUCAGAAC